UUAAGCGACUAAGCGUACACGGUGGAUGCCCUGGCAGUCAGAGGCGAUGAAGGACGUGCUAAUCUGCGAUAAGCGUCGGUAAGGUGAUAUGAACCGUUAUAACCGGCGAUUUCCGAAUGGGGAAACCCAGUGUGUUUCGACACACUAUCAUUAACUGAAUCCAUAGGUUAAUGAGGCGAACCGGGGGAACUGAAACAUCUAAGUACCCCGAGGAAAAGAAAUCAACCGAGAUUCCCCCAGUAGCGGCGAGCGAACGGGGAGCAGCCCAGAGCCUGAAUCAGUGUGUGUGUUAGUGGAAGCGUCUGGAAAGGCGCGCGAUACAGGGUGACAGCCCCGUACACAAAAAUGCACAUGCUGUGAGCUCGAUGAGUAGGGCGGGACACGUGGUAUCCUGUCUGAAUAUGGGGGGACCAUCCUCCAAGGCUAAAUACUCCUGACUGACCGAUAGUGAACCAGUACCGUGAGGGAAAGGCGAAAAGAACCCCGGCGAGGGGAGUGAAAAAGAACCUGAAACCGUGUACGUACAAGCAGUGGGAGCACGCUUAGGCGUGUGACUGCGUACCUUUUGUAUAAUGGGUCAGCGACUUAUAUUCUGUAGCAAGGUUAACCGAAUAGGGGAGCCGAAGGGAAACCGAGUCUUAACUGGGCGUUAAGUUGCAGGGUAUAGACCCGAAACCCGGUGAUCUAGCCAUGGGCAGGUUGAAGGUUGGGUAACACUAACUGGAGGACCGAACCGACUAAUGUUGAAAAAUUAGCGGAUGACUUGUGGCUGGGGGUGAAAGGCCAAUCAAACCGGGAGAUAGCUGGUUCUCCCCGAAAGCUAUUUAGGUAGCGCCUCGUGAACUCAUCUCCGGGGGUAGAGCACUGUUUCGGCAAGGGGGUCAUCCCGACUUACCAACCCGAUGCAAACUGCGAAUACCGGAGAAUGUUAUCACGGGAGACACACGGCGGGUGCUAACGUCCGUCGUGAAGAGGGAAACAACCCAGACCGCCAGCUAAGGUCCCAAAGUCAUGGUUAAGUGGGAAACGAUGUGGGAAGGCCCAGACAGCCAGGAUGUUGGCUUAGAAGCAGCCAUCAUUUAAAGAAAGCGUAAUAGCUCACUGGUCGAGUCGGCCUGCGCGGAAGAUGUAACGGGGCUAAACCAUGCACCGAAGCUGCGGCAGCGACGCUUAUGCGUUGUUGGGUAGGGGAGCGUUCUGUAAGCCUGUGAAGGUGUGCUGUGAGGCAUGCUGGAGGUAUCAGAAGUGCGAAUGCUGACAUAAGUAACGAUAAAGCGGGUGAAAAGCCCGCUCGCCGGAAGACCAAGGGUUCCUGUCCAACGUUAAUCGGGGCAGGGUGAGUCGACCCCUAAGGCGAGGCCGAAAGGCGUAGUCGAUGGGAAACAGGUUAAUAUUCCUGUACUUGGUGUUACUGCGAAGGGGGGACGGAGAAGGCUAUGUUGGCCGGGCGACGGUUGUCCCGGUUUAAGCGUGUAGGCUGGUUUUCCAGGCAAAUCCGGAAAAUCAAGGCUGAGGCGUGAUGACGAGGCACUACGGUGCUGAAGCAACAAAUGCCCUGCUUCCAGGAAAAGCCUCUAAGCAUCAGGUAACAUCAAAUCGUACCCCAAACCGACACAGGUGGUCAGGUAGAGAAUACCAAGGCGCUUGAGAGAACUCGGGUGAAGGAACUAGGCAAAAUGGUGCCGUAACUUCGGGAGAAGGCACGCUGAUAUGUAGGUGAAGCGACUUGCUCGUGGAGCUGAAAUCAGUCGAAGAUACCAGCUGGCUGCAACUGUUUAUUAAAAACACAGCACUGUGCAAACACGAAAGUGGACGUAUACGGUGUGACGCCUGCCCGGUGCCGGAAGGUUAAUUGAUGGGGUCAGCGCAAGCGAAGCUCUUGAUCGAAGCCCCGGUAAACGGCGGCCGUAACUAUAACGGUCCUAAGGUAGCGAAAUUCCUUGUCGGGUAAGUUCCGACCUGCACGAAUGGCGUAAUGAUGGCCAGGCUGUCUCCACCCGAGACUCAGUGAAAUUGAACUCGCUGUGAAGAUGCAGUGUACCCGCGGCAAGACGGAAAGACCCCGUGAACCUUUACUAUAGCUUGACACUGAACAUUGAGCCUUGAUGUGUAGGAUAGGUGGGAGGCUUUGAAGUGUGGACGCCAGUCUGCAUGGAGCCGACCUUGAAAUACCACCCUUUAAUGUUUGAUGUUCUAACGUUGACCCGUAAUCCGGGUUGCGGACAGUGUCUGGUGGGUAGUUUGACUGGGGCGGUCUCCUCCUAAAGAGUAACGGAGGAGCACGAAGGUUGGCUAAUCCUGGUCGGACAUCAGGAGGUUAGUGCAAUGGCAUAAGCCAGCUUGACUGCGAGCGUGACGGCGCGAGCAGGUGCGAAAGCAGGUCAUAGUGAUCCGGUGGUUCUGAAUGGAAGGGCCAUCGCUCAACGGAUAAAAGGUACUCCGGGGAUAACAGGCUGAUACCGCCCAAGAGUUCAUAUCGACGGCGGUGUUUGGCACCUCGAUGUCGGCUCAUCACAUCCUGGGGCUGAAGUAGGUCCCAAGGGUAUGGCUGUUCGCCAUUUAAAGUGGUACGCGAGCUGGGUUUAGAACGUCGUGAGACAGUUCGGUCCCUAUCUGCCGUGGGCGCUGGAGAACUGAGGGGGGCUGCUCCUAGUACGAGAGGACCGGAGUGGACGCAUCACUGGUGUUCGGGUUGUCAUGCCAAUGGCACUGCCCGGUAGCUAAAUGCGGAAGAGAUAAGUGCUGAAAGCAUCUAAGCACGAAACUUGCCCCGAGAUGAGUUCUCCCUGACUCCUUGAGAGUCCUGAAGGAACGUUGAAGACGACGACGUUGAUAGGCCGGGUGUGUAAGCGCAGCGAUGCGUUGAGCUAACCGGUACUAAUGAACCGUGAGGCUUAACCUU
rnacentral:rRNA from 1 species